GGAUGCUGUUCAACAAGAAUGGCAACUCGAAGAGCUGUGGAUAACCCACAGGGAGGCUGACUGGCAUGUCCACCUUCCCUAUUUUCUGAGGUAGCCAUUGCCCUCCCAUAUAUUCUUGGAAUCCUUAUCCACAUUGCUUGCCCAACAAACAUUCAGUAAAGACAAAUGGGAAAACUUGAGAAUAAUCCAGAAUAGCUUGGUACAUGGAGAAAAGCAGUC
rnacentral:lncRNA from 1 species